rnacentral:rRNA from 1 species
UACGGAGGAUGCAAGCGUUAUCCGGAUUUAUUGGGUUUAAAGGGUGCGCAGGUUGUUUGAUAAGUCAGUGGUGAAAGUCUGUCGCUUAACUGUAACAGUGCCGUUGAUACUGGGGAGCUAGGAUUUGGUUGCUGUGGGUGGAAUGUGUGGUGUAGCGGUGAAAUGCUUAGAGAUCACACAGAAUAUCGAUUGCGAAGGCAGCUCACAAAGCCAAGAUUGACGCUGAGGCACGAAAGUGUGGGGAUCAAACAGGA